AGCCAGGGAGGAAGGGGAGAGUUCAGGGAAGGUCCCAUGAUCAGGGCUUUCCUCAGCUCUUCUACUCUUUGGGACUGAGUUGGGAUCUUCAGAAACCCCUCAUGGCUGGGGAUGGCUCACCUUCAACUCUCUCCCUGAGUUACUAAAGUAAAAUUCACGUGUAAUAGUCACCCUCUGUCCAUUCUGAAGGGUACAACCCAGUGUGAUUUAGUAAACUUGUAACUUUGGAAAACCUUCACCGCCAUCUAGUCAACAAUAUCCUCACCAUUCCAAAUGGAAACCUUGUUCCCAUUCAACUGUCCAUGGGACAAGCCUGUGUACUAGAAGACCUCUAGGACCCAGACCCAGCUGCUGGCCUUCACUCCUGCCCAGAGGAUGCCUCAGGCUCCCUCACUGCCCCACCUCAGCACAUUCUAGAGUCACAAGGAUCGAGCUGGUGCAGCCAGAGCCCCAGCCAUCAUCUCCAGCCCUUCCUAAAUAUCACAUGGCUCUCAGCACCCCUUGGGGAGAGAGGAGAUGCCACUGCUCUCAUGGCCAUGUGGAGGGCACUGAGUCAAUAAACACCUCAUUCAAACUUCUCA